rnacentral:rRNA from 1 species
GACGAACGCUGGCGGCGUGCUUAACACAUGCAAGUCGAACGAAGUGGCGCACGGGUGAGUAAUAUAUAGUUAAUCUGCCCUACACAGAGGAACAACAGUUGGAAACGACGGCUACUACCUCAUAGUGUAGGAUGAGACUAUAUCGUAGCAUCUAGUUGGUAAGGUAAUGGAUUACCAAGGCUAUGACGCGUAACUGGUCUGAGAGGAUGAUCAGUCAAAUUGGAACUGAGACACGGUCCAAACUCCUACGGGAGGCAGCAGUAAGGAAGAUUGCGCAAUGGGGGAAACCCUGAAGCAGCAACGCCGCGUGGAGGAUGACACUUUUCGGAGCGUAAACUCCUUUUAUCAGGAAAGCGGUACCUGAUGAAUAAGCACCGGCUAACUCCGUGCCAGCAGCCGCGGUAAUUC